CCCUACUGCUAUCGGGGUGGGACUAAGACAUGCGAGUCGAGCGUCUCCAGCUAUGGUGAGACGCGGCAGACGGCUCAGUAACACGUGGCUAACCUACCCUCAGGACGGGGACAAACCCGGGAAACUGGGGCUAAUACCCGAUAGGCGAGAAUGUCUGGAAUGAUUUCUCAUUCAAAGGGCUUUAGAAACAUGCUUCUAAAGUCGCCUGGGGAUGGGGCCGCGUCCGAUCAGGUUGUUGGUGAGGUAACGGCUCACCAAGCCUAUAACCGGUACGGGCCGUGAGAGCGGUAGCCCGGAGAUGGGUACUGAGACAAGGACCCAGGCCCUACGGGGCGCAGCAGUCGCGAAAACUCCGCAAUGCACGAAAGUGUGACGGGGCUACCCCGAGUGCCAUCCGCUGAGGAUGGCUUUUCUUUGGUGUAACUAGCCGGGGGAAUAAGGAGAGGGCAAGACUGGUGUCAGCCGCCGCGGUAAUACCAGCUCUCCGAGUGGUAGGGAUGAUUAUUGGGCUUAAAGCGUCCGUAGCCGGCUUAGCAAGUCUCCUGUUAAAUUCAGCGACCUAAUCGUUGAGCCGCGGGAGAUACUACUAGGCUAGGAGGCGGGAGAGGUCGACGGUACUUCUGGGGUAGGGGUGAAAUCCUAUAAUCCCGGGAGGACCACCAGUGACGAAGGCUGUUGACUAGAACGCGCUCGGCGGUGAGGGACGAAAGCUGGGGGAGCGAACCGGAUUAGAUACCCGGGUAGUCCCAGCCGUAAACGACGCGGGCUAGGUGUUGGGGUGGCUACGUGCCACUUCAGUGCCGCAGGGAAGCCAUUAAGCCCGCCGCCUGGGGAGUACGGCCGCAAGGCUGAAACUUAAAGGAAUUGGCGGGGGAGCACCACAAGGCGUGAAGCUUGCGGUUC
rnacentral:rRNA from 1 species